rnacentral:rRNA from 1 species
AGAGUUUGAUCCUGGCUCAGGACGAACGCUGGCGGCGCGCUUAACACAUGCAAGUCGAGCGAGAACCAGUCCUUCGGGGCUGGGGACAGCGGCGAACGGGUGAGUAACACGUGGGUAAUCUGCCCUCGGCACCGGAAUAGCCCGGGGAAACCCGGAUUAAUGCCGGAUGGCCUCUCUGCCCUACGGGGCGGCGAGAAAAGGUAGCUUUGGCCUCCGGCCGAGGAUGAGCCCGCGGCCGAUUAGCUUGUUGGUGAGGUAACGGCUCACCAAGGCGACGAUCGGUAGCUGGUCUGAGAGGACGAUCAGCCACACUGGGACUGAGACACUGUCUAGACUCCUACGGGAGGCAGCAGUGGGGAAUCUUGCGCAAUGGGGCGAAAGCCUGACGCAGCGACGCCGCGUGCGGGAAGAAGGCCUUCGGGUUGUAACCCGUUUCAGGAGGGACCAAGCGCUCAGGUAAUAGCCGAGAGGUGACCGUUACUCCAGAAGAAGCCCCGCUAACUACUUGCCAGCAGCCGCGGUA